rnacentral:other from 1 species
UAACCCCUGCCGUGUUCGUGAUUGGAAGGUGAACUUUGACCCAACACUCACUUAUCGGGAGCCUUCACUAGUUUUGGUGAGCAAGUUCUGCAUGUACAGAAAAGCCUAAAGAAACUACAAGGUGCCCACUUGAUCCCUUGGAUCAAAGACCUGCCAACACGGCACAAUGGCGGGGGUUCC